rnacentral:rRNA from 1 species
CCUAAGGUAGCGAAAUUCCUUGUCAGGUAAGUUCUGACCCGCACGAAUGGCGUAAUGAUUUGGGCACUGUCUCAACAGCCCGCCCGGCGAAAUUGUAGUACUGGUGAAGAUGCCAGUUACCCGCAACUAGACGGAAAGACCCCAUGGAGCUUUACUGCAGCUUAAUACUGAAAUUCGGUAGUACAUGUACAGGAUAGGUGGGAGACUGAGAAAUACAGGCGUCAGCUUGUAUGGAGUCGCUGUUGGGAUACCACUCUUGUACUGCUGGGUUUCUAACCUGCGGCCGUGAAUCCGGUCGGGGGACACUGUUAGGCGGGCAGUUUGACUGGGGCGGUCGCCUCCAAAAAGGUAACGGAGGCGCUCAAAGGUUCGCUCAGCAUGGAUGGAAACCAUGCUCUUGAGUGUAAACGCAAAAGCGAGCCUAACUGCGAGACUGACGGGUCGAGCAGUAACGAAAGUUGGAGUUAGUGAUCCGGCGGUAUGUGAGUGGAAAUGCCGUCGCUCAACGGAUAAAAGCUACCCUGGGGAUAACAGGCUGAUCUCCCCCAAGAGUCCACAUCGACGGGGAGGUUUGGCACCUCGAUGUCGGCUCAUCGCAUCCUGGGGCUGUAUUCGGUCCCAAGGGUUUGGCUGUUCGCCAAUUAAAGCGGUACGCGAGCUGGGUUCAGAACGUCGUGAGACAGUUCGGUCCCUAUCUGUCGUGGGCGUAGGAUAUUUGAAAGGAGCUGUCCCUAGUACGAGAGGACCGGGAUGGACGCACCUCUGGUGCACCAGUUGUCACGCCAGUGGCACAGCUGGGCAGCUAUGUGCGGAACGGAUAAACGCUGAAGGCAUCUAAGCGUGAAGCCGCCCUUAAGAUAAGAUAUCCCAUCCUUAAAGGAGUAAGACCCCCGGAAGACUACCGGGUUGAUAGGCUCAAAGUGUAAGUGUGGUAACACAUUCAGCUAGCGAGUACUAAUCGGUCGAGGGCUUAACCUU